ACUCCAAAGUUUUGGGAGCCAGGGAAUCACGGAGACUGAAGUGGGAAAGUGGCAGCUGCUCCUCCGGCUACCGGUCUGGCAGAGGGAUCAGAGUCUGGAGUAUGGACCACUGGAGAGGACUUCUGGCCACCUGGGUGGUGUGCCUUCUCCUAGGUCUCACUGACGCCUUCAAUAUCGACGACAAGAAACCGCGGAUAAUCCCCGGCUCCAAGGACGCCUUUUUCGGAUACACAAUACGGCAGCAUCAGGUCGCUGGCAAAAAAUGGUUGGUGGUUGGAGCCCCCUUCGAUCAGAAUGGCGCACAGAAGACAGGUGACAUAUACAGAUGUUCCCUCGCCAACGACACAACCAAUGACUGUACCAAGCUUGGAAUUGGCAGGGUGACGCUGUCCAACGUGUCGGAACGAAAGGACAACAUGCGGUUGGGAAUGAGCUUAGUCACCAAUCCUAAAGACAAUAGCUUUGUGGCCUGCAGUCCAUUGUGGUCUCAUGAGUGUGGAAGCUCCUAUUAUACAACUGGGAUGUGCUCCAGAGUCAACGCCAACUUCCGAUUCUCAAGAAUUGUGGCCCCUGCACUGCAAAGGUGUCCAACUUUCAUGGAUAUUGUUAUUGUUCUGGACGGAUCAAACAGCAUUUACCCAUGGUCAGAGGUCCAGGGUUUUCUCAUCAGUAUUCUUCAGAAGUUCUACAUUGCUCCGGGUCAGAUUCAGGUGGGGGUAUUGCAGUACGGGGAAGAGGUGGUCCACGAGUUUCACUUGAAUGACUUCCGCUCAGUGAAUGAGGUGGUGGAGGCCGCAAAACGCAUUGAGCAGAGGGGAGGAACAGAGACUCGAACUGCACUGGGCAUUGAGAAGGCGUGCACAGAGGCAUUUCAGCGCGGUGGAAGAAAGGGAGCCAAAAAAGUGAUGAUUGUGAUUACCGAUGGAGAAUCUCAUGACAGCCCUGACCUGCAGAGGGUGAUAGAGACCAGCGAACGAGAAAACAUAACCCGCUAUGCUGUGGCUGUCCUUGGAUAUUACAAUAGAAGAGGGAUUAAUCCUAAAGCUUUCCUAAAUGAAAUCAAAUAUAUUGCCAGUGACCCGGAUGACAAGCACUUCUUCAAUGUGACAAAUGAAGCCGCAUUAAAGGACAUUGUGGAUGCACUUGGGGAAAGGAUUUUCAGUCUGGAAGGAGGGACCAAUAAGAAUGAGACGUCCUUUGGGCUUGAGAUGUCCCAGGCUGGGUUUUCAUCCCAUGUGGUAGAGGAUGGGAUAUUGCUGGGAGCGGUUGGAGCAUACGACUGGAAUGGAGCUGUUCUCAAAGAGACCAGCAGCGGGAAGGUGAUUCCUCGGAGAGAGUCUUACCUAAGGGAGUUUCCGGAUGAGCUCAAGAACCAUGGAGCAUACCUUGGCUACACGGUCACGUCUCUAAUGACACCGCAACGCGUCAGGCUGUAUGUAUCAGGAGCUCCGCGAUUUAAUCAUACGGGGAAGGUGAUCAUCUUCAGCAUGCAAGGCAUGGACAAUCUUGUCAUCCAUCAGUCUCUACAAGGGGAACAGAUCGGGUCAUAUUUUGGCAGUGAAAUUGGCUCUGUAGAUGUGGACGGUGAUGGGGUGACGGACGUGCUGUUGGUUGGAGCUCCGAUGUUCUUCAGUGAAGCGAGGGAGCGCGGCCGUGUCUCUGUAUAUGUCGUAAGAGAGAAACGCUUUGUUCCAGAUGGAGCUUUGCGUGACUCGGACAGCUCACAAAAUUCACGCUUUGGAUAUGCCAUCUCUGCAGUGCCAGACCUAAACCAAGACUCUUUCAAUGACGUGGUGAUCGGGGCACCUCUAGAAGAUGGCCAUAAGGGUGCCAUUUAUAUCUUCCAUGGAUUCAAGAGAAACAUAUUGAAGAAAUACAAACAGCGCAUUGCUGCAGCAGACUUGUCACCCACACUGGCCUAUUUCGGCUGCAACAUUCAUGGAGAGAUGGAUAUGAACGAGGAUGGCCUGGUGGAUCUGGCGGUGGGCUCUAUGGGAAAUGCUGUUCUUCUCUGGACUCGCAGCGUUGUGCAGAUUAAUGCGACCAUUCGAUUCGAGCCGCCGAAGAUCAACAUUUUCAGUAAAGAGUGCCACAGGAAUGGACGGGAAGCCACUUGCAUGGCGGCAUUCAUCUGCUUCUCUCCAAUAUUUAAAGCACCCCAGUUCCAGGGGCAGAGUGUGGGUAUUAAGUACAAUGUGACCAUUGAUGAGCGUAGAUACACCCCCCGUGCUGUGAUUGAUGACAUCGGAGGAGAUAAACACUUCAUUGAAACCAUCAGGGCCAAAAGUGGGCAUAAUCAGUGCCAGCAGCUCAAUUUCCACGUUCUGGACACGGCAGACUACGUGAAGCCCAUCACCUUUUCUAUGGAGUACGAGUUGGCAUUCCCCGACCAGGGACCAGUGCUAGAGGAAGGAUGGCCAUCAUCUCUAAAAGCAUCGGUUCCAUUCUGGAAUGGGUGUAACCAGGAUGAGCGCUGCGUCCCCGACCUCCACUUGGAUGUGAAGCACGAUAUCCCGACUGCAAUGGAGUUCUGCCAGCGCUCUCUGCGGAGGACCCCAUCAGACUGCAAUACCUUCACUCGAUCAUUUGACAACUCAGUAUUCAUCAUUGAAGGAAGCAGAAGGCGAGUGGCCCUGGAAGUGACACUUGAGAACCGAGGGGAGAACGCAUACAGCACCGUGCUCAAUAUUUCCCACUCUCCAAACCUCCAGUUUGCAAGCUUGAUCCAAAAGGAGGAGUCAGACAUCAAGAUUGAGUGCAAGAAUGACGAACGGAUUCCAUACAGCAAGAUGUGCAAUAUCAGCUUCCCAUUCUUCAGAGCAAAAGCCAAGGUGGCAUUUCGGCUUGACUUCGAAUUCAGUAAAUCUGUGUUUCUUCCAUCUUUGCAGAUCCAUCUAGUAGCAAGCAGUGACAGUGAAGAACUGGAGAGUACAAUCGCUGAUAACGAGGUUCUGCUGAAUUUCAACCUCAAGUAUGAGUCGGACCUCCUAUUCACCAGAUACUCCAGUCUGGACCAGUAUGAGAUCACAUCCCAAGGGUCAGCUGACAGAUACAAUGCUAUUGGGCCCCCAUUCAACUGCUCUUUUAAGAUACAGAAUCUGGGCUUCUUCCCUGAGGAUAUCACAGUGAAGAUCACCAUUCCGGUGGCAACUCGCGGUGGUAAUCGUCUGCUCCUCUUACAACAGCUGACCAAUGACCAGGGGAAUGAAAGCUGUAACGUUUGGGGAAAUAGCACAGAUUACCGCAGGAGGCCAUCGGAGGAGGACAUCAGCCACAUACCUCAGCUGAAUCACAGUAACUCCGAUGUUGUAUCCAUUGAUUGCACUAUGAGCCUGGCGUCCAAUCAGGAAGCAGCACUCACCCUCCAUGGGAGAUUGUGGAGCAGAACAUUCCAAACGAUUAAAUUCCGCUCUGUGAACCUGGUGACUAUCGCGGUAUUGCAACGGAAAUUCCAGAGUCCGUUUAUAUUCCGGGAGGAAGAGCCCACCCGCCAGAUUGUACUGGAAAUUUCCAAGCAGGAAGAAUGGGAAGUUCCUAUAUGGAUUAUCAUCAUCAGUACAAUAGGUGGACUGUUGCUGUUGGCUCUCCUAGUGCUGGCCCUUUGGAAGUUGGGAUUCUUCAAACGCAGUCACCACGAGAGGGAGGAAGAAGAUGAAGCGCUAGAGUGAAGUCGAGGAAAGCUGAGCGGUCAGCCGCAGCCCGCGCACGUGACCUAUAUAUUCACACCUAUAGGGGGGCCAGAGGGAGAAGCUGGCUGGAGAUCUGACGAUAGAAGACAAAUGGACAGAUGCCUUCUUGCACAAGACUGAGCCGGUAGCUCUGACUUCACCAGCAGACGCUACCUCAAGGGAACAGAACGAACGAGCUCCCGCUUCCACCUUCGGCCUCUAUUUAUUUCUAUUGAUCGGGACGUUCGCUGAACUUUAAGCCAUAAGAACUGAAAAAAAAGCUCUGACAGGUUCUGCUCAGGGAUCAACCAACUUCGUCACCACCGAUCGGUGGAGACCCAUAUCCGUGUCCCUGGACUCCUCCGUGUCUGAAAUCAUUCCUUUUGUGUUUUCUAGUUGUUUUAUUUUUUUAUUUUUAUUGGUUUAAUAUUAGCAUGCCACUGUAACCUGGCCUGAGGAAGAGGAUGACGCAACGCGUUUGGUGGGGAUCGGAUAAAGUUGUUUCUGGAUGUUUCUAUUUUACGGUGGCCUGUGCAACUUCUUGGUUUGAUGUUUUUUUUAGGGUUUUUUUUUUUUCCUUUGUACCCCCGGAUAUUUAUAAAGAAGAAAAGAAAAUCGGGGGAGGGGCUUUUAAAGAGGAGAGAAUUUUUGGAAUAAGAAUACAAAUAGCAAAUUUUACAAAGGAAGAGGGAGAGGCUUGUAACUAUGUAUCAAUUUUUAUAGCGCCAUACUCAUCCUUAAAGCCCCCAAAUUUUAUAUAUUGCAGCUUACCAAUCAUUAGAUGUGGUGGCCGCGUUUUAUUUUAUUUUCUUUAGGCUUUUUUCUCCUCUUUUUUUUCACCUGGUGAUCUGGCCAAUAACACACCUCAUGUAUUAGAGCGCCACCCCCACCCCACUCUGGAUGAAGGCGCACGGGAGGCACCUUCUUGGACUGCAGUAUUGUCAUUCUGGGGAGAGGGGAGGGGGUUAAAUGUACUGGCAGUUUUAAAUACACUAACAAAUUCGAGCCAAACUCCAGCUAAUAUUUUAUAAUCAGAAGUUUUGUUAUUUUUGGGAUAAAGGUUUUACAUGAAUAAAAAAAAAAAGCGGAUUGUUUGUAAUCACCCCCUGACAGUUGUAAAUGGUUUGUCUCAUCAAUGUAAACUGAUACAUCUGCAGAAUAGCUUGUGUUUUCGAAAAACAGACUUAUUGGUCAGAUCACCAGAUAGAAAUAGAAGAAAAAAAGCCUAAAAAAAAAGAAAACAAAUGCAGCCACCACAUCUAAGAAUUGGUAAGCUGCAAGAUAAUAAAUGUUUGCUUUUGGGUUUAUUACCACUUUAAGUUUUAAUAAGAACCGCAUACCAUUGUUCAAUCUGAAAAAAAAGUCUUCAUAUAGAAGAGCUAGAGACACUAACACAGUCCACAUCCGGGACCGUCCCCCCCCCCCCUUAACCUAUUUUAUGAAAGUAGCUGGAUACAGGGCAGAAACAGGAUAACGGCAAGGAGUAUCAGGCAGCAAGCAAAACACUAGUAGGGGAGGACCUAAAUACCCUCCCAGCAGCCAGCAUCAGGUGGAAACUGAUUACUGUAGAGGAGGACCUAAAUACCCUCCCAGCAGCCAGCAUCAGGUGGAAACUGAUUACUGGGAUCUGCUGGCUGCUCAGAGACACUCGCUGGUGGACUCGGGAACUACAUCCUUCUGCUAUGGGAAGCACAGUGCCACCAGCAGGCGAUCCAGGUCCUGACAGAUACGCCGGCAGCAUUGGGCAUAAUGACCACUACGGGGGGUGGCUGGGAUAUUUGUAGUUAGUUCACCUUUUAAUUUUUUAUGGAAAGGUGAACUAUUGUUCAAUCUGAAAAAAGGUCUUUACUGGUGUAUCAUAUAGAACAGCUAGACACUAACACGGUCCACAUCCGGAACUGUUCACCCCUUAACGCAUUUCACCAAAGUAGCUUGAUUGCAAGGCAGCAGGAUACAGGACAGAAACAGGACAAUGGUGAGCAGUAUCAGGCAGCAAGCAAAACACUAGUAGGGGAGGACCUAAAUACCCUCCCAGCAGCCAGCAUCAGGUGGAAACUGAUUUCUGUAGAGGAGGACCUAAAUACCCUCCCAGCAGCCAGCAUCAGGUGGAAACUGAUUACUGGGAUCUGCUGGCUGCUGGGAGACACCCACUCGCUGGUGGACUCAGGAACUACAUCCCUCUGCUAUAGGAAGCACAGUGCCACUGGCAGGCGAUCCAGGUCCUGACAGCUACACCGGCAGCAUUGGGCAUAAUGACCACUAGGGGGGGGGGGGGUGGCUGGGAUAUUUGUAGUUAGUUCACCUUUUCAUUUUUUAUGGAAAGGUGAACUAUUGAUUGUUCAAUCUGAAAAAAGGUCUUUACUGGUGUAUCAUAUAGAAGAGCUAGACACUAACACGGUCCACAUCCGGGACUGUUCCCCCCUUAACGCAUUUCACCAAAGUAGCUUGAUUGCAAGGCAGCAGGAUACAGGGCAGAAACAGGACAAUGGCGAGCAGUAUCAGGCAGCAAGCAAAACACUAGUAGGGGAGGACCUAAAUACCCUCCCAGCAGCCAGCAUCAGGUGGAAACUGAAUACUGGGAUCUUCUGGCUGUUGGGAGACACUCGCUGGUGGACUCGGGAACUAAAUCCUUCCGCUAUGGGAAGCACAGUGCCACCAGCAGGCGAUCCAGGUCCUGACAGCUACACCGGCAGCAUUGGGCAUAACGACCACUACGUGCUCCAGAGACCAGAGGGGGGGGGAUGGCUGGGAUAUUUGGAGUUAGUUCACCUUUUCAUUUUUCAUGGAAAGGUGAACUAUUGUUUAAUCUAAAAAAAGGGUCUUUACUGAUGUAUCGUAGAACAGCAAGACACUAACACGGUCCACAUCUAGGACCACUCCCCGUUAACGCAUUUCACCAACGUAGCUUGAUUGCAAGGCAGCAGGAUGCAGUGUACAAGCCAGGUACAGGAUAACAGUGAGCAGUAUCUGGCAGCAAGCAAAACACUGGGGAGAGAGGAACUAGUAGGGGAGGACCUAAAUACCCUCCCAGCAGCCAGCAUCAGGUGGAAACUGAUUACUGUAGAGGAGGACCUAAAUACCCUCCCAGCAGCCAGCAUCAGGUGGAAACUGAUUACUGGGAUCUGCUGGCUGCUGGGAGACACCCACUCGCUGGUGGACUCAGGAACUACAUCCCUCUGCUAUAGGAAGCUCAGUGCCACCGGCAGGCGAUCCAGGUCCUGACAGCUACACCGGCAGCAUUGGGCAUAAUGACCACUACGAGGGGGGGGAGGGUGGCUGGGAUAUUUGUAGUUAGUUCACCUUUUCAUUUUUUAUGGAAAGGUGAACUAUUGAUUGUUCAAUCUGAAAAAAGGUCUUUACUGGUGUAUCAUAUAGAACAGCUAGACACUAACACGGUCCACAUCCGGGACUGUUCCCCCCCUUAACGCAUUUCACCAAAGUAGCUUGAUUGCAAGGCAGCAGGAUACAGGGCAGAAACAGGACAAUGGCGAGCAGUAUCAGGCAGCAAGCAAAACACUAGUAGGGGAGGACCUAAAUACCCUCCCAGCAGCCAGCAUCAGGUGGAAACUGAAUACUGUAGAGGAUGACCUAAAUACCCUCCCAGCAGCCAGCAUCAGGUGGAAACUGAAUACUGUAGAGGAGGACCUAAAUUCCCUCCCAGCAGCCAGCAUCAGGUGGAAACUGAAUACUGUAGAGGAGGACCUAAAUUCCCUCCCAGCAGCCAGCAUCAGGUGGAAACUGAAUACUGGGAUCUUCUGGCUGUUGGGAGACACUCGCUGGUGAACUCGGGAACUACAUCCUUCCGCUAUGGGAAGCACAGUGCCACCAGCAGGCGAUCCAGGUCCUGACAGCUACACCGGCAGCAUUGGGCAUAAUGACCACUACAGGGGGGGGGGGGGUGGCUGGGAUAUUUGUAGUUAGUUCACCUUUUCAUUUUUUAUAGAAAGGUGAACUAUUGUUUAAUCUGAAAAAAGGUCUUUACUGGUGUAUCAUAUAGAACAGCUAGACACUAACAUGGUUCACAUCCGGGACUGUUCCCCCCUUAACGCAUUUCACCAAAGUAGCUUGAUUGCAAGGCAGCAGGAUACAGGGCAGAAACAGGACAAUGGCGAGCAGUAUCAGGCAGCAAGCAAAACGCUAGUAGGGGAGGACCUAAAUACCCUCCCAGCAGCCAGCAUCAGGUGGAAACUGAAUACUGUAGAGGAUGACCUAAAUACCCUCCCAGCAGCCAG